UACGUAGGUGACAAGCGUUGUCCGGAUUUACUGGGCGUAAAGAGCGCGCAGGCGGUCGAUCAAGUCGAGUGUGAAAGCCCCCGGCUCAACUGGGAAGGGUCAUUCGAUACUGAUCGACUCGAAGGCAGGAGAGGGUAGUGGAAUUCCCGGUGUAGUGGUGAAAUGCGUAGAUAUCGGGAGGAACACCAGUGGCGAAGGCGGCAUCCUGGACCGGCAUUGACGCUGAGGAGCGAAAGCCAGGGGAGCAAACGGG
rnacentral:rRNA from 1 species